ACGGUAGACUACUUUCGGGUAGUUGAGAGUGGCGCACGGGUGCGUAACGCGUAUGCAACCUACCUUGUACAGGGGGAUAGCCCGGAGAAAUUCGGAUUAAUACCCCAUAGCAUUACCAGAUGGCAUCUGAAGGUAAUUAAAGAUUUAUCGGUACAAGAUGGGCAUGCGUGACAUUAGUUAGUUGGUAGGGUAACGGCCUACCAAGACUAUGAUGUCUAGGGGUUCUGAGAGGACGAUCCCCCACACUGGUACUGAGAUACGGACCAAACUCCUACGGGAGGCAGCAGUAGGAAAUAUUGGUCAAUGGGGGAGAGCCUGAACCACCCAUGCCGCGUGCAGGAAAACGGCCUCCUGGGUUGUAAACUGCUUUUUAUACGGAAAAAAAAAACCCCUUGCGAGGGAAAUUGCCGGUUACCUUAUAAAUAAACACCGGUUAAAUUCCGUUGCCACCAGCCCGCGGAAAUACGGAAGGGGGGCAAGCGUU
rnacentral:rRNA from 1 species